AUGGCAGGUGAGUGGAAGGGACGGGACCUCGUUUCUGGAGCAAGAACUUCAGGUGCAGCGAGCUACUGCCAGUCGUUCGUUCCCUCCUGCCCUGCAUGGGACACCUGCACGUCCAGGGAGUUCCUGCUCCCUGAGCCCAGUGAGAGAAGACGCGCGUCGGAGGGCAGCCUGGAGCCAGCAGCCACGGAGCCCGAGGGAGCAGACGAAUUCUGCUGUGAACACAUUCUGCAUCUGUGUGCAACCGUAAUGUGGUCUCACACCAACAUCCCAUGCAUCCCCCAUGACUGUUGUGUUCGUUCAUUCUGGCAGGCAAGUAUUCCCACCCCGGGAAAACUCAGACAUGACAUGCCUUUCUUUCAGUGUUGGGGCUCCCCAACACACCCCUGCUUCAUUGGGCCAUUUCCCAAAGCAAACAUACCUUCCAGCUCUAUCACGCUCCGAGUGGUCAAGCCAUCUGGAAAUGUUCACACGCUGGUAUGAGUCCUGCUAACUCGUGUGAGCCCACCUAGGGAGGAAUGAGCUCUGUUUCUACUGCGGAACCUCACUGAUUUGAGAAAUGGAUGAUGGCACAAGUGCUAAGGGGAAAUCUGACAGGGUCUCUGGGGGGCAGACUGCAGCCCCCACCCCCAAGGGACUUGGCAGGAGUCUUAAGGCCACAGAUCUGGAGAUAAGGAGAUCAUCCUAGAUUCCCCCAUCUAAUCACAGGAGGCUUAACAGCAGAAAGCUUGAUUCAGCUGGAGUGACAGACCCAGCACAGAGAUCAGGCACACCUGAAGCAGGAGGGGUCAGCUCGCCACCACUGGGGGGACCACCAGGGUCUGCUGGGCUCACACCCGGUCAGCUGCAAAGGGACCUCCUCCCAGCCAGCAACUCAGUGAGCCCGCGCUCAGUCAUCCAGAGCCCUCAGACAGGAGAGCAACCUUCAAGUCACCUUGACAUGAGCCCAGUUGAGCCUGGACUUCCCGCCUGCAUAGCGGCAGAAUACAUGGGCUUUGCUUUAAGCUGCUCUCUGGGAGGACAGAUGCUAUGGGAGCAGCAUGCAGUCUGGGUGGCAAGGAGCUGGAGGCUUGGGGUUCCUACAGGGGGUCCCCGAGCUCACCGUGGAAAGAAGCAAAGCCCCCUGGGAUGCCCACCCUUCCCACCGCCAAGCUUCUCCCGCGCAGACACACUCGCUGAGCUGACAGAGCAGGUCCUGCGGUGGGCCGGCCCCCCGUGGUUCUAUUUAUACGGCCUGUAUGCAAACGAGGACUUGGGGAAACCCAGCAUGUGAUUGGGUUACAGAGCAUAUGUAAAUAGCCAGAGGCAGCUCUGCUCUCUGAUUGGAUAAGAUUGCUGGGGAAGUCAGCCAACCAGAGCAGAGAUGGCCCUAGACACCCUCCAAGAAGCGCUGCUCCGGGCCCUCCCCGGAGAGCCGGGCGCUUGACUGGGGGAAGUGGAGGCUGUAGCUGGGAUUCCUGAUGGUUUUUAUUGUUUUGUUUUAAAAAAAAUUUUUUUAAUUUAAGUUCAAUUUGCCAAUAUAUAGUAUAACGCCCAGUGCUCAUCCCAUCACGCGCCCGCCUAAGUGCCCGUCACCUGGUGCUGAUGAAUUCACGGGGCCUUAUGGUGAUGAAGCCCCAGUAGGACGGCAGUGGUGAAAUCCAUCACCUUCCGACUGACAAAGAAAUCCAGUAUCAUCUUUAUUCCGGAAUAUCAGAGAAUGGAGAGGAAGAGGGUUUGGGCGUGUUUUCGUGGUUUUUCGUUGUUGUUGUUGUUGUUGUUGUUGUUUGUUAGUAUUUUUAGGGAAACGAUAUACACUUCAACGUAUAUGAGAAUAUCAAAUACCUGGGCAUCCCAGAGCAGUGUUUGCAGAGUGUGGUCUUGGGCCAACAUCAGGUCACCUGGGGAUUCGUUAGGAAUGCAAACUCGGGUCACUCCAGACCCAUUGAGUCACCAAGGGAAUGAGGCCCAGCUCUCUGCUCAGAUGCAUGUUAAUGUUUGAGAGCCAAACAAACUAGAUUGAACGGGCUCACUCAGAAAUUGAGCCACGUACUAAAUUAUCUGUCCUGUCUGCAAAUGAGUCAGUAAAAAAAUCGAAUGGCAAAAAUUUCUCUCAUUAUAUUAAAUAAGAUAAACAAGGAUACUCUUGGAAAAAGUGGGAUUCUUUUCAUGAAAAUAGAAAGCUCACUGAGAGGUUGAUAGAAAGAGACCUGCUUCCUUGGCUAUUAAAAUAAAUUUGAAAAAAAAAUCUAUUUUCUCCUAAAC
rnacentral:lncRNA from 12 species